rnacentral:rRNA from 1 species
GACGAACGCUGGCGGCGUGCUUAACACAUGCAAGUCGAACGGAAAGGCCCUGCUUUUGUGGGGUGCUCGAGUGGCGAACGGGUGAGUAACACGUGAGUAACCUGCCCUUGACUUUGGGAUAACUUCAGGAAACUGGGGCUAAUACCGGAUAGGAGCUCCUGCUGCAUGGUGGGGGUUGGAAAGUUUCGGAGGUUGGGGAUGGACUCGCGGCUUAUCAGCUUGUUGGUGGGGUAGUGGCUUACCAAGGCUUUGACGGGUAGCCGGCCUGAGAGGGUGACCGGCCACAUUGGGACUGAGGUACGGCCCAGACUCCUACGGGAGGCAGCAGUGGGGAAUAUUGCACAAUGGGCGGAAGCCUGAUGCAGCAACGCCGCGUGCGGGAUGACGGCCUUCGGGUUGUAAACCGCUUUCGCCUGUGACGAAGCGUGAGUGACGGUAAUGGGUAAAGAAGCACCGGCUAACUACGUG